GAUGAAGAACGUAGCAAAAUGCGAUACUUGGUGUGAAUUGCAGAAUCCCGUGAACCAUCGAGUUUUUGAACGCAAGUUGCGCCCGAAGCCUUUUGGCCGAGGGCACGUCUGCCUGGGCGUCACGCAUCACGUCGCCCCCCACAAUUCUCCGUAAAGGGAACGUGUGUUUUGGGGGCGGAUAUUGGUCUCCCGUGCUCAUGGCGUGGUUGGCCGAAAUAGGAGUCCUUUCGAUGGACGCACGAACUAGUGGUGGUCGUAAAAACCCUCGUCUUUUGUUUCGUGCUGUUGCUCGCAAGGUAAACUCUUUAAAAACCCCAGCGUGUCGUCUCUUGACGACGCUUCGACCGCGACCCCAGGUCAGGCGGGACUACCCGCUGAGUUUAAGCAUAUCAAUAAGCGGAGGA
rnacentral:misc_RNA from 1 species